ensembl:lncRNA
UGGGAAAUGAAACGCACCUGCGUGAUUUCUCGACCGGUAUUGGAUCAGCGUGGAUCUCCGAUCGCAACAGAGACACUCUCAGCGUCCUCCUGGUCAGCGGAUGAGAUCUGGCUAACCAUAGAUUCUACCGGAGGAUCCUGAGCUCAGCACAGAACCCGCUGAUAUCCUGUCCUUUAAACUCAGGAACAAACUCUUCAUACCGCCCGACUGUUCGACCACCUGCACGCUACAAUACAAAUGUAUUAAUCCCCCACAUGUGGAGUGUUCAGGUCUGACAAGAUACUAAAAGUCCACAGCCGCCGCAGUUUAGCCCUGCCGUUAAUAUCUCCAGAGCGGGCCUGGGUCCUCCUUCCGGGUCCGGUUGACUUGGACCAGGGCUCCCGGGUGCAGUGUGACUCAUGGGACGGCGGAGGCGGUAUCCAAGGUGAGCAGACAGAAGUGCGGGUUCAGGACACGGAGGCGGUCCCUCGGGAUGUCUCGAGGACUUCCGCCCGGCCGCUCUGAGAAUGAGGCCCGAUCUCGGAGAGCAGGUGUUCACAAUGGCUCCGAGGAGGUUCCUGUUCUAAAAAGGGAGAGGUGUGAACGAGCGUAUGCAGGAUAAGGGGAACAAGCCGUGAAAGCACUGUAAAAUGUUUGCUAUGGGUGUGUGAGAACAAUGAAUUACUUUGGCUCUUGCUCUUUUUUUUGAUGGCCUCUAGGUUUUGCUCAAACUUCAGGGUGUUUUUAAAGAUGUUAACAUCAUACAG